GGUUUGUAUUCUGAGCUCUAAGUGUCUCUGAAUUAUGCAACCUGCUUUAAUUUAUCAGUUUAUUUUUAUCUGACGUCUCCAGCGUUGUUGUUGCAUUUUCAGGUUUCUGUUCUGAGCUCUCAGUGUCUCUGGAUCAUGCAGCCUGCUUUAAUACCCAGUUUAUUUUAUCUGAUGUCUCUCAGCGCUGAUGUUGCAUUUUCGGGUUUCUAUCCUGAGCGAAGUGUCUCUGAAUUAUGCAACCUGCUGUAGUUUAUCAGUUUUUUUUCUGACGUCUCCCAACGCUGUUGUUGCAUUUUCAGGUUUCUAUCCUGAGCUAAGUGUCGUUGAAUUACACAGCCUGCUUUAAUUUAUCAGUUUGUUUUAUGUGAUGUCUCCCAGCGCUGUCGUUGCAUUUUCAGGUUUCUAUUCUGAGCUCUAUGUGUCUCUGGAUUAAGCAGCCUGCUUUAUUUUAUCAGUUUAUUUUAUAUCACGUCUCCAGCGCUGUCGUUGCAUUUUCAGGUUUCUAUUCUAAGCUCUAAGUGUCUCUGGAUUACGCAGUCUGCUUUAAUUUAUCACUUUAUUUUAUCUGAUGUCUCCCAGCACUAUCAUUGCAUUUGCAGGAUUCUGCUCUGAUCUCUCAGUGUCUCUGGAUUAUGCCUCCUGCUUUAAUUUAUCAGUUUAUUGUAUCGCAUGUCUCCCUGCUCGGUUGUUGCAUUUUCAGGUUUCUAUUCUGAGCUCUCAGUGUCUCGGCAUUAUAUUUCCUGCUUUAAUUUAUCAGUUUAUUUUAACUGAUGUCUCCCAGCGAUGGCGUUGCAUUUUCAGGUUUCUUGUCUGAGCUCUAAAUGUCUCUGGAUUAGGCAGCCUGCUUUAAUUUACAGUUUAUUUUAUCUGACACCUCCAGCGCUGUCGUUUCAUUUUCAGGUUUGUAUUCUGAGCUCUAAGUUUCUCUCAAUUACGCAGCCUGAUUUAAUUCAUUAGUUUAUUUUUAUCUGACGUCUCCCAGCGAAGCUGUUGCAUUUUCCGGUUUCUAUUCUGAGCUCUAAGUGUCUCUGGAUUACGCAGCCCGCUUUAAUUUACAAUUUGUUUUAUUUGACGUCUCCAGCGCUGUCGUUGCAUUUUCAGGUUUCUGUUCUGAGCUCAGUGUCUCUGGAUCAUGCAGCCUGCUUCAAUUCCCAGUUUAUUUUAUCUGAUGUGUCUCAGCGCUGAUGUUGCAUUUUCAGGUUUCUGUCCUGAGCUCCCAAUGUCUCUGGAUUACGCACCCGGCUCUAAUUCACAGUUCAUUUUAUUGACGUCUCCAGCACUGUUUUUGCAUUUUCAGCUUUCUGACCAGAUCUCUAAGUGUCUCUGGAUUAUGCAGCCUGCUUUAAUUUAUAGUUUAUUUAUAUCUGACGUCUCCCUGCACUGCUGUUUUAUUUUAGCAGCAUUUGAAAACUGUGAAUCUGAUGAUCUGUGAUUUCUCCUCUCGUCUGGAGCCUCCAGGCCUUGCGGCGGCUGCAUUCACAGGACGCACAGACGCUGACCGAGCAGAAGUGUGCAAGGACACCAAUGCUUUUAUUUUAUUUUCUCUCCCCUCAGGCUCGCUUUGAAUGUGAAAAGGAGGCUGCGGUUUCCUUCCCGAGGGCCCUCAGACGCCGCUCCUCCUCCUCCUCCUCCUCCUCCUCC
ensembl:lncRNA